AGCUCAGUGGUAGAGUGCUUGCCUUUCAUGCAUGAGGCCCUGGGUUCGAUUCCUCAG
rnacentral:tRNA from 1 species